GGGCCAGCACUACUACCCUCAUGUGCCCAUUCGGUGGCAGGGAGCAGCCGUGGGGAAGCAUGACCUCAUAAUAAUGCAGUAGUGGCAGCUGGGACCCUUCAGCUAGGACUUUAUAGCUGCACCCCUUGUGCCGUACAGAUCUACUUCUUACAGGUUUGGGGAACAACUCCUCCAUGAUUUCCACGCAUCUCUUUUAGAAGAGGGAAUUUGAAUGGUCAGUAACCCCUCUCUCUGAAGGGCCACAACUAGUACUCAUCUUCUCUGUCUUCUGUCAUCUUUUUAUAAUUUUCCUUAUCUUCAGCUAUCAGCUUAGCAAGUUUUGGUGGUUUACCUAAUAGUAUGACCCAAACCUUCAUUCCUGAGGGGACUGAACCUUUGGUAAUCAUAACCUCCCCACAUAGGGGUUCCAUACAUACCCAUUUACAGUUGCAGUGGAGCAAGGGAAUAUCAGCAGACACCAAAGGGAUUGCCUGUGUUCUGCACGUAUUUUUCCCAUCUCCGCCCUAACUGCCUCUGGUCAAAGUCCGUACUCCUGCCAGGAGGCUGGCCACUCUUCUAUGCUUUUGGUCCCUGGACAUAAGUUCAAAGUACCUUGGUGAGAGUCAGUAGGACUUCUGCAGUGUUCCUUAGCAAGAGUAUGUACCCCUUUUGGCUACCAAAUCUUCCAACCCUGCAGAGCCCAGAGUUUUAGGAAUGGGAAGUAGUGGGUCACUAAGAAUGGUAGAGCCAUUGCUUUUCCCUCUAGGUCCUUGGACACAAAGGUUUGUGAUUUAGUGGAUUUAAUCAUUCGAAAGGAUGGUACCCCAUCCUUUUACCAUACUGUAUCUGAGCUGGUGCUUACAUUAUGUCAUUAGGCCAUUCCAGUAAUCUAGGAGAUUGUGUAUUUCUGUGUAUGUGCUGUGAUCAGUGGGGUCCUUUGGUUGGGUGCAGUCUCUUACUCCUUUGUUUUGAAGUAGGUUCCCUAGAUGAAUAACUGUGGGGUGGGGUUCAUGCCUGUGAAUUAGGCAUUCUGUUAAUGCCCAGAAAGUGGUGCUGGCUGAGAUUUUGUGACUGCUAUCUGGGGAUAUUGGCAUUGGUAUGUCUGUGAAAAUGAAUUGCUGGCCCUUCUAGGAUCAAAGGGAUCAUAUAGUCGUGUUGGCACCAAGUGGUUGGUUGUUCUCCUCAGGGAAUAAAUAGUGCCAUAUCAACACAACAUUGGUCUCUGUCAUUAACAGGACAGUCAGAGACACAAUAGCUAGAUCCGCUUUGGUAAGUGGGACUUCAUUUUGUUGAGCUCAUUCAUAGCCUCUAUCUCUGCCACAAGCCAUUCUAUCCAUGUGCCCCAUGUGCCUUUUCCAGGUUGGCUAAUGUCGACUAGUAGUUAUUCUGUCUACUUGGUGGUUCAGUGCCUCUUCCAUGGUCGAUUUUUUGGUGAACAUUAGCAUGCUGUAUGAAAUACUUAAUCUUGACUCCCUCAUAUCCAUUCAUACAUCUACUCCAGACUUCCUUGUCAGAUCUUCUAGCCUUUCCUUCCACAUCCUGACCUGCCAUCGACCAUUGCCCAGGAAUCUCAUCUAAGGCUGCUUCUAUAUAAAAUGAUAACCAGGUAUAUUGCUCAUAGAUCUACCCAUUAGGAUGAUUUUUCCUCACCACUGUCUUUCAAGGCCAUCCCUUUUAUGUGUUUUUAAGGCAGCCAUGGUUCAUUUGUGCCAUGUGCCCACAUACUGAGCCAAGCGAACCCCUCAGUAAAUGAAGCUUGGGCCUUGUCACUUCCUUCAGCUGCUGUACCCCCCAAGGCUGUUGGUGCAAAUGGAGGUAAGACACUGAUGGCAACUGUGGUGGGUGAUGUGGAAAUCUGUGCUACCUACUCAUAUAGCUUGUUUUGCCCUCUGAUCCUGCUUGGGCUCUAUCUCAGAUGUACCAUUUCUGUCUUCUGAUGGACUGCUGCUGAGUUCAUACAGCUUUAUAUCUUGGUGAUUCUAAAUUCAGCUCAAAAUGGGCAGUUGUGGACAUAUGGUUAUUUGGUGCUCAUCGCCAAACAUUCUGCGUCUACCAGAGCUCAGUCACAUUCCAGAAGUCACUUCUCAAAAGGUCUGAUUUUGUACUACAGGUAGCAUGGCCUUACUGUGGAAUCCCAGAGUCAUGAUUCUCCUUCUGGGGCUUACUAUAAACUUUACACUGCAUCUUUUUCCACCAUUUCCACCAUGCUUCCUUCACUAUAAGGUCUACUGGGUCUUGUGACCCACGCAUCAGGGCUACUUGUACCGUGGCCUAGACCUGAUAGAGAACUAUUUCCCGAUCUGGGCUCCGCUCAAGACUCGUAGCAGAUGAGCCAAAGCAGUAAGUAUUCUUAGGUAUAAAAUGUGUUACCUACAAAGCUCAAAUGGGUCUACCAGCCACAAUGCUUCCUUCCAACACAGCAGUUACCCUUUGGAAGAGAUCUUGUGGUAUGCCCCCCUGAUCGCUGGACCCCUAAAAAGUCACUAACAUGGUGAAUUGCUGAACCUCAAUAGGAUUAAUUUCUCACCCUUUUAACCCUAUGUAUCUUACCAGGACUUCUUGUGUGUCAGCCAUCUCUUGCUUGUCCUGUCCAGUCAGCAGGAAGUCAUCAGUGUAAUGUACAAAUGCUCUGGGAUGUCCAGUCAGCCUCGGAUCUCUGGACUGUGAGAGGGUAUAGGAGAGUUCAUAGCCCAAGGGCAAAAUUAAGUGAAUACUGUUCAUUCCAUGUGAGCAUGAACUUUCUGAUCCUCUUUUCUAGCCGGAAUAGAAAACACAUUUGCUAAAUCAGUAGCUGCAUACUGUGUACCUGAGGCUUACCAGCAUAUCUGCUCCAACAGUACUGUGUCCAGCUCAGCAAUGGGGAUCAGCGCUGCUAUGACUACUUGCCUUGAUGCUGCCAGAGCAGCGAGGUGUUUCCACUUGGCUCAACAUUGGCCAUCACUUUCUCCAGGCUUCUAAGAGCCAUCCUAACAGUGAGUGUCCCCCUUUCCCUGGGGUCCUUGCCAGGGUGUCAAAUCCCAUACAAAAGACACGAUUCUUCCUUUUUCAGUGUUAUGCCCCUCCCACCUUGAAAUUCAAUCCCAGCGGUACUCCCUUGACUCCUGCCACAAUACACCAAUUCUUGUAGCUCUUCUGGUGUGUAAUCUAUUUCUCUUGUCAGGCUCAACGUAUCCCUAAAGAGGAAAUGCUGGAAUUGAACUCUAGUUAUAGGCCCACCAGUCCAGAGUGUAGACAGGGAGUGCUCCAUACCUGUUGCCUUGCUGAGAAGCAGCCUGUGUGGUGUCUUCCCAUGCAGGAGAAAUGCUAGCUCUUACUAGGAAGGGGGGGACCACCUCUCCAAGCUCUAAUAGUUGGAGGAGAUUUGCAGUGCCAUAUCAUCAAUAUCCUUGGAGUUCUCCCACCUCAUAUUUCAGAGUUCUCGGUUUUCUCUACCAGAGCCCUGUCAUUAGCAAAACAGACUACACUGGCUGAGCAUUUAAGUGUCUACAGAGGUUUGCAACUCUCCUGAUCAGAUCCCGUGUCUGCUGCUCGGCUUUGUCGGCACCUUUUCUGCAGGAGGGAAAGGCCACUUUGUAAGCUAGCGGAGUCUGGUCUCUGAUUCUCAGUUAGCCUUUAGUUGCUGGCCCUCAGUUUCUCAUUAUUCCUCUGCCCGGCACCAGUACAACUUAAUAACCAGCCACUCUGCUGUCCUUGGAGACAUGUGCCCUCGUCUCCUUCACAUGCCUGAAUCAUCACACCUGCAAGGGUAGUUCCUCCCUACAGGACAUUUUCCUAGGUCACCGCACUGAAACCUUCAGUGGCUCAGCCACUCAGACUGGAGCCGUUUUUCUCAGCCAAGCAGGGAGUGGGGCUGUCUCCGCACUCCGCCUUACCUCUUCUUUUCUUGCUCUACCCCUGUUUCUAAAAGGAGCAGAUGCCAAGACAGGAUUAGGCAAACAAGAGAUUUAUUGGAAGGAAGUGUCUGUGAAGGUGAAAGGGCAGGGAGCCCAAAAAUAAAAAUAAAAAAAA